CUACGGGCCGCUGCAGUGGGGAAUAUUGCACAAUGGAGGAAACUCUGAUGCAGCAACGCCGCGUGGAGGAUGACACAUUUCGGUGCGUAAACUCCUUUUAUAUGAGAAGAUAAUGACGGUAUCAUAUGAAUAAGCACCGGCUAACUCCGUGCCAGCAGCCGCGGUAAUACGGGGGGUGCAAGCGUUACUCGGAAUCACUGGGCGUAAAGAGCAUGUAGGCGGAUAGAAAAGUUGGAAGUGAAAUCCUGUGGCUUAACUAUAGAACUGCUUCCAAAACUCUCUAUCUAGAAUAUGGGAGAGGUAGAUGGAAUUUCUGGUGUAGGGGUAAAAUCCGUAGAGAUCAGAAGGAAUACCGAUUGCGAAGGCGAUCUACUGGAAUAUUAUUGACGCUGAGAUGCGAAAGCGUGGGGAGCAAACAGGAUUAGAUACCCCAGUAGUC
rnacentral:rRNA from 1 species